GACGAACGCUGGCGGCGUGCCUAAUACAUGCAAGUAGAACGCUGAGAACUGGUGCUUGCACCGGUUCAAGGAGUUGCGAACGGGUGAGUAACGCGUAGGUAACCUACCUCAUAGCGGGGGAUAACUAUUGGAAACGAUAGCUAAUACCGCAUAAGAGAGACUAACGCAUGUUAGUAAUUUAAAAGGGGCAAUUGCUCCACUAUGAGAUGGACCUGCGUUGUAUUAGCUAGUUGGUGAGGUAAAGGCUCACCAAGGCGACGAUACAUAGCCGACCUGAGAGGGUGAUCGGCCACACUGGGACUGAGACACGGCCCAGACUCCUACGGGAGGCAGCAGUAGGGAAUCUUCGGCAAUGGGGGCAACCCUGACCGAGCAACGCCGCGUGAGUGAAGAAGGUUUUCGGAUCGUAAAGCUCUGUUGUUAGAGAAGAAUGAUGGUGGGAGUGGAAAAUCCACCAAGUGACGGUAACUAACCAGAAAGGGACGGCUAACUACGUGCCAGCAGCCGCGGUAAUACGUAAGG
rnacentral:rRNA from 1 species